GAUAUUAUAAUCAAAGUGCCAUAUGUUGCCUUGAGUUUUAAACUUCUUUAAUAUUUUAUUUUAUUUUAUUUUUUAUUUUAGAGAGAUUGCUUGAGCAGAGGAGAGGGGCAGAGAAAGACAGAGAAUCUUAAGCAGGGUCCAUGCUCAGCACAGAGCCUGAUGUGGGGCUCAAUCCCAUGACCCAGGGAUCAUGACCUGAGCCCAAAUUGAGAGUCAGAUGCUCAACUGACUGAGCCACCCAGGGCAUGCCAACUUUUUAGCUUCUUUAUACAACAUCACCAAGCUCUUUCCUGCCUUAGUAUGCAUAGUAACCGUCAUUGAAUCUUCCUCCAUAUAUUCAGGAUACUAUUAUAUUAUGCUAGAUACCAAGAAUCACAAUUUCUUUCUCUCUUUCCAUAUGAAUCACUCCUUAAUAUCAGCUAAUACUACCUUCCCAAUGUUUUUCAGGUAGCUUUUCAUUCUCUCUGUGAUCACUCAGAUCCUUAUUAACUGCUUGGGACUUCUGAUCAAGCUCUCUAGAGGAUUUUUGUUAGCUCCCAGAUUCUGAUGACAGCCAGGUUCGAGAACCACUACACUAGACCUCAGUGAUCCUACUAGUAUGUGCAACUUGACCAGAAAAGCAGGAAACAGCAGAGGGAAGAGGAAGAGAAAGCCUCUCAUUAAGAAACAUCUUUUACCCACACGCUGAUCGCAAACACCGACCCUGGGAUUUGCAAAGCCUGGACUACUUGAGCUCAAACGCCCCAGGCUUCCUGCAACCAAAGAGUCUGGGGCCCUUGGUUCUGGGGUUAGCUGUGUCUCUUACAGGCUCUGUGACCUUGAGAGUAGUCACGUUACCUCUCUGGACUCCGGCUUUCUCCUCUCUCAAGAAGGUGAGCUAAAAGGAAGCUGCUGCAACUCCCCUUAGGACACAGUAGGGUGUCAGUUCACACGCACUGAAUGGAGAGAGACCUGUGUCCCAUUUCGUGGUCUCUGGAACCCAAUAGGCAAGAACGGUUUCCUGCAAACUGAUGGGGUCAACAGGAUUUGGCAGAACCUCCCCCUCCCCAGUGGUUAUGGCAGGCCCCUAAUUUUCCCGCGCUGGUCUCUAACCACUGAAGAAGGGGUGACCCGACAGUGAACUUGGUUGAAAUGAAUUAUGACUCAGUUACCAAAAAAAAAAAAAAAAGAAAGAAAGAAAAAAACAGCACUUGAGACAUAGUUGGGAGGCAGGCAGGAGACAUUCCAACCAAAAAAUAGAAAGCAAAAGAGGGUGAGAGCUUUUAAACAUAUAUAUUAAAAGCAUUUACAGCGAGCAAAUGGAUUUUUUAAGUCCAAAGUGAUUUUUAAU
rnacentral:lncRNA from 1 species